rnacentral:misc_RNA from 1 species
AAAUAAAAAUCGGUGUUGUUGCUGCCUUUCGUGGUGACGCGUCGGAAUUGGGUCGUCUUACCUUCGGUUAAGUGACUUAAAAUUUUUGUAUGAUUUUCGAACGUAUUUAAAUUGCUUACGUACGUUUGAGAUAUCGAAUGUUUAUUAGGUCCGGUCAUCCUCAUGAUUCAAGCCUAUAAUUUUUCAUU